GUUGGCAUGUUUAAUCCAUAGUUUUUAAGAAGUUUCCAUUAUUUGGAAACUGACCUGGUUGGUUCAGCGUCGGCUUGGGUGGAAAACUAACCCAACCAAUCCUGUCAUCGGUUCGAAGCUGACUAUUGAUUCUAACUUUCGUAGAACCGUUCAAAUUACCUAUUUGCACAUUUUCUUUUUUCCUUGAUUUCAUCUCUGAGAUUGGAGUAAACAUACUCUCCUGCACAAGAAGCUGUUAUAAGUGCACAAUGUUGAAUUGCAGAAAUUGGAUAUGAACCAGGUGCUGCAGUUGUUGCUAGACUACUUGUACAUGCACAACAGAUAAGGCUAUUUGGUGGGUAGAGAGGAGGGUAUAUUAUUAAUCAAAUGAAAAGGGCCGUUACAAGCAUGCAGAUAAUUCACAGCUUCUAACAACACUCUGCUUCUCUGCUCAGUACUAACCGUUACCUGCCCAAGCUUGUUGUACAGUACAAUCAUUCUAAAUGUAUAAAUUCACUAAUACUCCAAUUUUCUAUUCACAUUUGAGCUGCUCGCCGAGAUCAGAAGAUGAUGGUAUUUCGAAACCUUUCAGAAGUGUAUUUAGUAUUGUGUUUUAAGUGUUUAUUAGUUGGUUUGAAUUACAUCGUCUUUGUGUAAAUUUUCUUAGAACAGCGGGGGUCCAGGUCAUUUUCUGGGAGGCACGUCUAUGGAGAUGGUUCAUGUUCAGCAGAUAUAUAUAAGGGGGCAAUGGUGGUGGUUAAUCAUGCUAAACCUGGGAUGUUUGAUGGCAAAGCGAUCGUGUCUGGCACGCCAGAUCAGAUUCGGGCUGCCCAGAGACUCGUCCACGCCUUCGUCUUGUGCAGGAAGACACAAUCCUGAUGAACAUAAAAUAAAGCACGAAGGUUGAGCCAAGUUUUAUGAGAGUUUCCGAGUGGAUGUAAACAAAAACGUACCAGUGAAUCUAGUAGUAGGGUGCUUUCUAAUUAAGGAUGAUUGUUUGCAUCCAUUUUACCCUGUUCCAAACGUGUUUUUCAGCUGCCCUUGCGAGAAGUGCAGAAUGCAGAAAAUCAAUAAAACAAAA